UUAGAAAGUGGUGUCUAUUUGGAAAUGGA
rnacentral:piRNA from 1 species